rnacentral:rRNA from 1 species
UCAAGCUACAAAGGGCGCAAGGAGAAUGCCUUGGCACUGGGAGCCGAUGAAAGACGUGGUAAGCUGCGAUAAGCUUCGGGGAGGAGCAAACAUCCUUUGAUCCGGAGAUUUCUGAAUGAGGAAACUCACCAGAGUUCAUACUCUGGUAUCCUGUACUGAAUCCAUAGGUACAGGAGGGGAACCGCCUGAACUGAAACAUCUAAGUAGGGCGAGGAAGAGACAUCAAACGAGAUUCCGUUAGUAGUGGCGAGCGAACGCGGAAGAGGGCAAACCGGAAGGAGAAAUCCUUCCGGGGUAUGGACCGCUUUUAGGACUUUAGCUGUUAAUCGAAUGGCAUGGGAAGGCCAACCAAAGAGUGUGAGAGUCACGUAGAUGAAAACGGCGAGAGCUGCGCGAGUUCCAGAGUACGGCCAGACACGUGAAACCUGGUCGGAAGAUGGGGGGACCACCCUCCAACCCUAAAUACUACCCAGUGACCGAUAGCGUAUAGUACUGUGAAGGAAAGGUGAAAAGGACCCCGGGAGGGGAGUGAAAUAGAACCUGAAACCUUGUGCCUACAAGCACAUAGAGCACAUCAACGUGUGAUAUGGUACUUUUUGUAGAACGGUCCGGCGAGCGAUUGUAUGUUGCGAGCUUAAGGUCUUAAGGACUGGAGGCGUAGCGAGAGCGAGUCUGAACAGGGCGUUCAGUAACAUGCAAUGGGCCCGAAACCGGGUGACCUACCCAUGAUCAGGCUGAAGUGAAAGUAAAAUUUCAUGGAGGGCCGAACCGACCUCCGUUGAAAAGGCGGCGGAUGAAUUGUGGGUAGCGGAGAAAUUCCAAUCGAACUCGGAGAUAGCUGGUUCUCCCCGAAAUAGCUUUAGGGCUAGCCUCAUAUUAGAUACCCGGAGGUAAAGCACUGAAUGGCCUAGCGCCCGAGAGGGUAGCGAAGCCUAUCAAACUAAGAAUGCCGGAGUAUUGAUGUAUGGGAGUCAGACAGUGUGAGAUAAAUCUCAUUGUCAAAAGGGAAACAGCCCAGAUCUACAGCUAAGGUCCCAAAUUGUAUCUAAGUGGAAAACGAUGUGGAAAUACGCAGACAACCAGGAUGUUGGCUCAGAAGCAGCCACUCAUUUAAAGAGUGCGUAAUAGCUCACUGGUCGAGCGUCUCUGCGCGGAAAAUUUAACGGGGCUAAGAUACAAACCGAAGCUUAGGCUGCACGUAAGUGCGGGGUAGGGGAGCGUUGUGUAAGCGGAGAAACAGUAGCGUAAGCGGCUGUGGAGUUUACAGAAGUGAGAAUGCCGGAAUGAGUAGCGCGAAUGUGGUGAGAAUCCACAUGGCCGGAAACCUCAGGUUUUUGGAGGAAGGUUCGUCCGCUCCAAGUUAGGCGGGAGCUAAGGUCAGGCCGAAAGGCGUAGCCGAUGCACAGACGGUAGAGAUUCCGUCCCCACCGAAAGAUUUAAGCACAGGGACACUUUUUGAAGGUCGGAGCCAGGUGUUGGUUCUGGUAGUGAUCGAGGGAAAUAUAGUACCGAAGUCCGGCUGGAAGAGAGGCGAGAAAAGCUGUGUGUAUAUCUAAGGUGCCCGUACCGCAAACCGACACAGGUAGGUAGGAAGAAGAUUCUAAGGCCAACGGGAGAAGGGUUGUUAAGGAACUCGGCAAGUUGACCCCGUAACUUCGGAAUAAGGGGUGCUCACGAGAGUGAGCCGCAGAGAAUAGGCCCAGGCAACUGUUUACCAAAAACACAGGUUUGUGCUAAAUCGAAAGAUGACGUAUACGAGCUGACGCCUGCCCGGUGCUGGAAGGUUAAAAGGAGAUGUGCAAGCAUUGAAUUGAAGCCCCAGUGAACGGCGGCCGUAACUAUAACGGUCCUAAGGUAGCGAAAUUCCUUGUCAGGUAAGUUCUGACCCGCAUGAAAGGCGUAAUGAUCUGGGCACUGUCUCAACAGCCCGCCCGGCGAAAUUGUAGUACCGGUGAAGAUGCCGGUUACCCGCGACAAGACGGAAAGACCCCAUGGAGCUUUACUGUAGCCU